CCUACGGGUGGCAGCAGUAGGGAAUAUUGCUCAAUGUGGGAAACCCUGAAGCAGCAACGCCGCGUGGAGGAUGACGGUUUUAGGAUUGUAAACUUCUUUUGUGAGAGAAGAUAAUGACGGUAUCUCACGAAUAAGCACCGGCUAACUCCGUGCCAGCAGCAGCGGUAAUACGGCGGGGGCAGGCGUUACUCGGAAUCACUGGGCGUAAAGAGUGCGCAGGCGGGCUGGUAAGUCAGAUGUGAAAUCCUGUAGCUUAACUACAGAACUGCAGUGGAAACUAUGAGUCUAGAGUGUGGGAGAGGUAGGUGGAAUUCUUGGUGUAGCGGUAAAAUGCGUAGAUAUCAAGAGGAAUACUCAUGGCGAAGGCGACCUACUGGAACAUUACUGACGCUCAUGCACGAAAGCGUGGGGAGCAAACAGGAUUAGAUACCCCUGUAGUG
rnacentral:rRNA from 1 species